AGAAGAAAAACGUUUUGGUGCUAAAUUUACACUAAAACGGUGUAGUUUUCACACCAAAAUAGUGUUAUGGGCUGAAGAUGUCCUUAGGAAGACAUAGGAUCUUGGAUUCAUCAUAUAUUUUAUAAUUUUAUCGAUGCUAGUUAGCUAAAAAGGAAAUAUUUCAUUUUAGCUUCUUUUCGUAAAUAUUGUUAGAACAUAAAUCCAGAUUAAAAAUUACGAAACAAAAUGUAUGUGGUGAUAACGAUAAUAUAAAGUGCUAAAAGCAUUUGAAACCUGAUAUGAAAAAGACGAAUAAGUGGAGUCGUGAUUUGAUUCCUUAACUCAAUAAAUCGUCCAUAGGUGAGAGGUUUUUGUACGAUUUCUGAGUCCUAAGAUAAAACCACAUGAGACUAAUUUGCAUCACUCAAAACAGAAUCUACAAACUUAACGAUCACACUAUACUUUUGAGACUUACAUUGAAAGACUUGAGGUAUAGCUGGAACUUUGUAUGUGGAAGCUAAUCUUUAAGAUUCUUAUAUAUGAGUUUGUGUGUGAGUGUGUUCUUAAUGGAGAUGUAAAAUGUCUAUUUAUAGGAGGGAUUCACAAAGCUUAGUCAUAAAACAACUUUGACAUGUUUCAUUAAGUUUGCUUAAGCUUUCGACAUUUGUUACUAAGUCACCAUAGUUCGAAACCAAGUGAACUUUACUAUUAGCCAUUUGUCACUAAGUUGCAUAGCUUGGUCACUAAGUUAGAUUGGUCAGAAAGUUUACUUAACUUAAGCCUCACCAAAAAGACUUAGUUUAGUCAUCAACUUAGUAAAAUAUUUUUUUCCAUCAUUUUACUCAACCCAUGAGCUUGCAAAAUGUGGUGGACUUCCUCCAUAUAAAGUACAACGUUUAUUUCACAUUAGAUUAGAUUUUUUUACUCAGCCUAAUAGGCUUGUAAAAUUUUAUUCACACAUACCUAAUUUUUACUGUCAAUAGGCUUGUAAAAAUAGUUUCAACAAUCCCUCAAGUGAAUAAAAAUAAUCUAAACAUAUGCAAGAGUCGAAAAACUUAUACAGACUCGACUGACUAGACUUAACUAAGACUAGACAGAAAAUUUUUUUCGAGAGUAUAAGAGAAAACAUAAUUGUAUGUGAUGUAGUAGCAUUUUCCAACCUUGAACUACUCACUGUUAGUAUCUGUCGGGUUUACUUUUCUGGUGGUGAACUUGAUGUCUUGAACCACCUGAAAAUUUAUGUAAACCGAGUCAACAAAUACAACACAACUGCCUUUUCUUUUGGAGUUAAGUUCUUAUGUUUUUGUUCAUUUUGGCCGUGAAGUUGUUUGGUGUUUCAUGAGUGAAGUUGGAGGGUACAGCCUGAUCACCUCCUAGAAAAGGCUCCAUUUCACACUCACUAGGUGAUUGCCAUGUGCACCUGUCAUAAAUACAAUAAAGUACCAUGUUAUAUUUUAUAUACAUAUAUAUGAAGGCCAUGAUCUUAUUUCAUUAGAAGCCAAUGCUUAACCUUAUACUUACAUGAGUAAUGUUAUCAUCUUUGGAUAUGGGCAGAUUUCAGUGCUUUUAUCGGAUAUUGUUUGAUUUAGUUGUCCCCUUCAACCAACUUCUUAGGAUCUCCAAUAUCGAUGGUGGAGUUUCCAUCAAACAUCCUUAGUCGUAGACAAUAAACCCUUUCCAGUUGAUGAUUUUAAAACUUGAUCUCUCAAUAAACCUUUAGUAAAUGGAUCUGCAAAGUUAUCAACUGAAUUUAUGUAGUCCAUGGAUAUUACACCGCUUGAGAUCAAGUGUCUAAUUGUCUUAUGACGUCAUCAUAUGUGGUGCGACUUGCCAUUAAAGAGUAUUCAGUGCCCGAGGUAUAGCUGACUGGCUAUCGAAAUGUAUACAGAGAGCCCUGUCCCGUGUUAAAACCCUCCGAUUAGCUCUCCAACAGACAUGUACGGCGGAGGUGGGUUUCUCUUCUAACCCUUGAAUUGUUUCUUUUUCCUUUCCCUGAUGAUAUUCUUGUUUUCGUUUGGUUGCCGCAGGUUUCGGCGUCAGCGGCAGCGUCAAUGAGGACAGUUGUUGUUCAUUUCGCAGACGCUGCCGCUGCCGCAUAUUAUAUCGCGACCGCAGGUUUUAUCGGCGUCAGCCGCUUGACGCGGCGUUCGGACGCGGCGUCAGACGCAGUUUCCUGCAUCAACGAAACGAACAAGAGUUGACGCAGAAUGUUGACGCUGCCCGCUGCCGCCGGUACCUGCGGCAACCAAACGAACAGCCCUAAAGUCUGAAUCUUUCCAUGGUGGGUUUGUUCCACAGAUGAAGUGUCAGCUAUAGUGUUUGACUUGGAUUCGUACACUUGAAAGGCUGGCUACGCCGGCGAAGAUGCACCUAAGGCCGUGUUUUCCCUUCCGUUGUUUGGGCAGUAGAUGGAGUAGUGGCAAUGGAUAUGGAUGUCGAUGUUGAUUCUUCAAAGACAAAUUCAAAUUCCAAGGAUUCAAAGUCUGAAAAGGAGAAGGGUAAACGGAAUCUCUAUGUGGGAUCUCAAGCCUUGAAUUACCGCAAGGAUCAUAUGGAUGUUAUUAUCUUUUUCUUCUUUUGAUUUAAUAUUAAAUGUGUAAAGUUGUUAAUUAAUUGCAAGUUAUUUUUUCCUAUUGCUAUUGAUGUGUUUGCUUUGUUGCAGAUCCUUGAAAUAGGAAAACGAAGAAUGAUAGUUGCAGAUCCUAAAGGUACGAAUCACUUCUCAUCACUUGCUUACACUCUAUUCACUGUGUUUUACGGUUAACAACUAGAGUUGAACAUAAAGGUCUGAACUUUGGAUGGAGAUACUCUCAAAAUGUGGUGAAUCUGGGAGAAAUCUCCAUUGCUGCCUAUUUGUUUCUCGCCAUAUCUCUCCUGUCUUACUAACUGAGAGCUUUAUGGGUUGUUGUUACUGUUUUCUCCAAUUAUUUAAUACAGGUUAUAUUUUAUCAGUAUUCACCUCUGGUUUCUCUUUAGAUUCAAGACUAGAACUAUCCUGGGAGUGGCAGAAGAAUGAGAGUCGCAGAUUCUCAAGGCACGAAUCACUUCUCUUCACUUGUUUAUACUCUUUUCGAUUUUUCUAUGCAUGUCUCAUAAAAGCAGAUUUGGUUUUAAACUACAUGUUCUGAUUUAUUUUUUGUUGUUGUUUUCUGUUAAAAAUUAUGACUUGAAGAUUCUCUACGAUGUGUAAUUAAUCUGACUUGAAACAUCUAUGUGUUGUGUAAUGAAUCUGACUUCAAGAUAGUGAAGUGAUUCUCUAGUAAGAAUUUUCUAGAGGUAAUGUUAACAUUUCAUUCUUUUCAUUAACUCAUAUUCGUGUACUGAUACUGUUCUUCAGUCCUCAAGGUAAUGCUGUGUGUUUGUUUCUUUCUGAUUCUGUCAGUGUUGGUACUAAGGGUCUGACUGGUUCAAACACAGCGGUUGCGGUUGCGGUUGGGGGAGUUUGCGAAUGCGGAUGGUUGCGGUUUUUAGUAUUAUUAAGCGUUUUGUAUGACUGGGACAACGUUUGAAAAUUGUUGCAUUUGCGGAUCA